GCCCUUACCCUCGGUUCGGGCACAGUGGGAACGACUGCUAAUACCGGAUGUGCCUGUGGGUGAAAGAUUUAUCACCUGAAGAUGAGCUCGCGUCUGAUUAGCUAGUAGGUGGGGUAAGAGCCUACCUAGGCGACGAUCAGUAGCUGGUCUGAGAGGAUGAUCAGCCACACUGGGACUGAGACACGGCCCAGACUCCUACGGGAGGCAGCAGUGGGGAAUUUUCCGCAAUGGGCGAAAGCCUGACGGAGCAAUACCGCGUGAGGGAGGAAGGCUCUUGGGUUGUAAACCUCUUUUCUCAGGGAAGAAGAAAUGACGGUACUUGAGGAAUCAGCAUCGGCUAACUCCGUGCCAGCAGCCGCGGUAAUACGGAGGAUGCAAGCGUUAUCCGGAAUGAUUGGGCGUAAAGCGUCCGCAGGUGGCAGAUAAAGUCUGCUGUCAAAGAGUCUGGCUCAACCAGAUAAAGGCAGUGGAAACUACACAGCUAGAGUGAGGUAGGGGCAGAGGGAAUUCCUGGUGUAGCGGUGAAAUGCGUAGAGAUCAGGAAGAACACCGGUGGCGAAAGCGCUCUGCUGGACCGCAACUGACACUGAGGGACGAAAGCUAGGGGAGCGAAUGGGAUUAGAUACCCCCGUAGUCAA
rnacentral:rRNA from 1 species